GUAGCUGAUAUCAUGAGCACGGAUACAUAGACCUCAUAAACAGAGCUCUCACACCUUAUCAGAACAUUCUCAUCUGAAAGUUUCUCACUUGAUGCUGUUUAGGAAUCAGAAGGUGGCAGAAAGGGGAAGAGAAGCAGAGAAGACAAGGUCAUAACACCACUGAGAAAAGCGGCUUGAAAAUGAAAAUAAACACACUUCUCAUCAAAAGAGAGAAUUUGUACAAAGCGACCUGUAUUUUAUGUGUGAUGUUAUUCAUCCAUGGUUGUAGAAAGCAUAUUCCAGUCCUGUCUGUACCCCAGCUGCCGGAGAAAGGACGGCUGUACCUGUAUUGGAACCUGCCUCAGAAUGUCUACCCACGAGAUCUUACUCCAGCCAGACUUCUAGUGUUUUGUGAUUUUGCCAAGAAAUAAGGGAAAAAAGAUCCCUAAGAUGGCUAUUUCAAUGCAGCAAAGAGGAGAGGCUGUCUGUUUUCUAUGGCCCUGUGUAAUUCAGAUCCAGGAUGACUCAUUCCUCUUAAGUGAGAAUAAGCUUAAAAAAUUAGCCCAUUUUCCUCUCCUUCAGGCUUUAGUGUCCACAUCAGCCAAACCAAGCAAAGAGUUCACUUUGAAAGAAAUCUCACAGCAGACAGCAAAGCCUGAGCCACAAAAGACCCAUUUGUAAAGAGAUUAUCACCAAGGCAGCUCGUGGUUAUGAUUUGGGACAAAAUAGAUUCAUAGGAGUCAUACUUCUUUCAAAUACAUUUUCUAACUUGGACCAUAUGAAAAUUGGUAUCUAAUCUCAUGCAAAAAAGAAAAGGUGUAUGCAGAAUAUCUUCAAAUAAACUGAUAUGUAAGCACAUAUUUAAAUAGGAAUUGUAAUUAAUAUCAUUAUCACUAAAAGAAAUGAUGUUUUAUAUAUACAAAGGCAUGUGUUAUAUCAAGCAUGCAGACCAUGGUGUCUAAUACGGUCCCCACUAAAAGGAACUAGGCUCUGCAAAUCCAUGGGUAAUCCCAAGGCUGGGCAAGAGACAUCUUUUGAUGUCAGAAAGUAAAGAAGUGCUUAAAAAAGGGUAGGGGGAUAUGACAAAGACAUAGGAGCCAGGGUGAGGGGGUCCCACUGCCCAAAUACAGGAAAAUUUGAACACCAAAAUAAUUAAGAACAAUAAAGAAUGUUAAACCAUUGGAAGAAAGAAGAAGCUAUCAGUUCAUACCAGUACCAGAUUAUUGAUGAAUAGAUGAUGGAUGGAUGAUAGAUGAUAGAUGAUGAUAGAUAGAUAGGUAGAUAGAUGAUAGACAAAUAUUGAUAGGAGGGAGAGUCAAAAGCUAAAUGUGGAAGGAAGGGUAAACUUAAAAGAUCAUGAUUUUGUAUCCAUCAUAGUAAAAAUUGGAUCAAGCAAGAAUUAGCAAGGGAUAAUCAAUGUAAGAGGAAAUUUAUAUGAGGAGCAGGAUAUUUACAUAGUCAUAAAGAAUCUCCCCACAGAUUGCUGAUUGGUAAUAAUAUGGUGCAGAGAUUGGACAACAUAUUGGCUGAGUGAUCAAAAUUAACAUCGCCAAUGAGAGACAGAUGGACAUCAUGUGCCUCCAGAUGUGAUAAUGCUGAGACAGGCACAACAUCACUUAGGCAUCAUACCAGGCAUGAUCGUAAGACAACGUUGACAAAAUCAAAACGAAAAAUGGUUUGUUUAAAAGAAAAGCAAGUUUAUUCUUCAAAAAUGUUAAUGUUGAAGAAAAAAAAAAAGAGGCACAGUGGAAAUAUUCCAGAUUAAAGGGCCCUGAAGAAACACAGUAACUAAAUGCAAUAACUAAUCUUAAAGUGGACUGUGUGUAAAGAGGGAAAAAAUAUACCAUUAUGCACAUUGUUGGGGCAACUGGCAAAAUUGGGGUACAAACAGUAGAGUAUACAGAAAUGUCCUAUCAAAUUAACCAUUCUCCUAGGGUCAGCUAACAGAAUCUCUCUAUUCUCAGACUUAAAGCAUUGAAGCCUUUAAAGCAUAUGCAACUUAUUUUCAAUUGACUCAGAAAAUAAAACACAUACACGAUGCAGCAAAAGGAGUAAGUUGCUAAUUAUAUUUUGGAUACAAGUUGACUUUGAGUCAAAGGUAUAUGGGAGUUCUGCGUUCUGUUUAUAUUUUUGCCUUUUUGUACAUUUUCUGUAAGUGCCAAAUUAUUUUGAAAUAAAAGGUUUUUUAAAAGUCUGUGCUCGAUCUUUGAGGAUAAAGAGGUACAAUAUGCAAUUGUGUCAUCCUGGAAUCCAAGUCCUAAUUGGGGUGGAGCAUCCAACAUAUGCACAUCCACAUGAAAAAUAAAUAUUGAGGAUCACACAUGACAAAAUAAUUUCCAUAAAAUAUUUAUUGUCUUUUUGCCUGUUUGAUUGCAAUCUCCUUU